rnacentral:misc_RNA from 1 species
UCCUAGCCCAGAUUGAAGAGAAAAGCCCGGAGCAAAAAAAGCCAAUUUUUCUUGCCGGAAAACAGCGACCAACGGAAGCUCGUUUUAUGGCUUAGAAAAAUUAGCUUUUUUUGUGAGGACUUGAAACGAAAAGCUAGAUCAGCU